GAUGAACGCUGGCGGCGUGCCUAAUACAUGCAAGUCGAGCGAACGGACGAGAAGCUUGCUUCUCUGGUGUUAGCGGCGGACGGGUGAGUGACACGUGGAUAACCUACCUAUAAGACUGGGAUAACUUCGGGAAACCGGAGCUAAUACCGGAUGAUAUUUUGAACCGCAUGGUUCAAAAGUGAAAGACGGUCUUGCUGUCACUUAUAGAUGGAUCCGCGCUGCAUUAGCUAGUUGGUAAGGUAACGGCUUACCAAGGCAACGAUGCAUAGCCGACCUGAGAGGGUGAUCGGCCACACUGGAACUGAGACACGGUCCAGACUCCUACGGGAGGCAGCAGUAGGGAAUCUUCCGCAAUGGGCGAAAGCCUGACGGAGCAACGCCGCGUGAGUGAUGAAGGUCUUCGGAUCGUAAAACUCUGUUAUUAGGGAAGAACAUAUGUGUAAGUAACUGUGCACAUCUUGACGGUACCUAAUCAGAAAGCCACGGCUAACUACGUG
rnacentral:rRNA from 1 species